GAACGAAAGAGUUUGAUCCUGGCUCAGAUUGAACGCUGGCGGCAUGCUUUACACAUGCAAGUCGAACGGUAACAGGGACUUCGGUCUGCUGACGAGUGGCGAACGGGUGAGUAAUGCAUCGGAACGUACCGAGUAAUGGGGGAUAACGCAUCGAAAGGUGUGCUAAUACCGCAUACGCCCUGAGGGGGAAAGCGGGGGAUCGAAAGACCUCGCGUUAUUCGAGCGGCCGAUGCCGGAUUAGCUAGUUGGUGGGGUAAAGGCUCACCAAGGCGACGAUCCGUAGCAGGUCUGAGAGGAUGAUCUGCCACACUGGGACUGAGACACGGCCCAGACUCCUACGGGAGGCAGCAGUGGGGAAUUUUGGACAAUGGGGGCAACCCUGAUCCAGCCAUGCCGCGUGUCUGAAGAAGGCCUUCGGGUUGUAAAGGACUUUUGUCAGGGAGGAAAUCCCUAAGG
rnacentral:rRNA from 1 species